CAGGCCUACCUAGGAGAGCUGCAGCAGCCCUCCAUCCCCAGCCUGAGCUAGGGAGGGUGUUUACAACAUGCUGAUAGACUGGCUUUGGGGUGGGGUGCUUCUAGGGCCUCCUGCUGAUGCUGGUAUGUUCUGCAUGGGAUUUAUAAAUGUUGGCUAGGUCAGGGAGACUUGGCAGACCUGAAUGGACUGUUUAGCCCAGUGAUCACAUGGGAGAGAGGAAACCUGCGCUCUAUUUCUAGAGCUGGUUGAGUAUUUCAUAUCAGUUGCUGGAGCACAGCUGGGACCCAGAACCUACUCUGGAAGGAGGAGAAUGUCUUCUGCAUCAAGUACAGCAGUCAGACUUGCCAAACAACCUAUUUCGGUGGAAUGUGGGUUCCUGGGCGGCUGGAAGUGCUUGGCCGCCGGCCUUGUGGUUCACCUGGGGCGUGCUGUCACUGUGCCUUGCCACCUCCAGAGACACAUGCAGUGCCUCUCCUCCUCCCUCUGUGCAUUAGCACCUCUGCCAUACCAUUCCUAAGAUAGAAGGAAGCCUGCACACAGCUCCUCGGAACAUGCAAUGAGAUUUGCGUGCCGGUGAACUUCCUCCGCCAACACGCUCCUCAGCAGCUGAAGUGACUUGGUGCGGCCCUCGCUUGGUCCUUUUGACCUCCCUAUUGUUAGGGAAGAUAAAUGCU